rnacentral:siRNA from 1 species
CCGGAUACGUCGUCAGGGUUC